UACGUAGGGUGCAAGCGUUGUCCGGAAUUAUUGGGCGUAAAGAGCUCGUAGGCGGUUUGUCGCGUCUGCUGUGAAAACUCAGGGCUUAACCCUGAGCCUGCAGUGGGUACGGGCAGACUAGAGUGCGGGAGAGGAGAGUGGAAUUCCUGGUGUAGCGGUGGAAUGCGCAGAUAUCAGGAAGAACACCCGUGGCGAAGGCGGCUCUCUGGAACGCAACUGACGCUGAGACGCGAAAGCGUGGGGAGCAAACAGG
rnacentral:rRNA from 1 species